AGCGGCGGAUGGGUGAGUAACACGUGGGGGACCUGCCCCUAAGUCUGGGAUACCAUUUGGAAACAGGUGCUAAUACCGGAUAAUAAAGCAGAUCGCAUGAUCAGCUUUUGAAAGGCGGCGUAAGCUGUCGCUAAGGGAUGGCCCCGCGGUGCAUUAGCUAGUUGGUAAGGUAACGGCUUACCAAGGCGACGAUGCAUAGCCGAGUUGAGAGACUGAUCGGCCACAUUGGGACUGAGACACGGCCCAAACUCCUACGGGAGGCAGCAGUAGGGAAUCUUCCACAAUGGACGCAAGUCUGAUGGAGCAACGCCGCGUGAGUGAAGAAGGUUUUCGGAUCGUAAAGCUCUGUUGUUGGUGAAGAAGGAUAGAGGUAGUAACUGGCCUUUAUGUGACGGUAAUCAACCAGAAAGUCACGGCUAACUACGUGCCAGCAGCCGCGGUAAUACGUAGGUGGCAAGCGUUGUCCGGAUUUAUUGGGCGUAAAGCGAGCGCAGGCGGAAAAAUAAGUCUAAUGUGAAAGCCCUCGGCUUAACCGAGGAACUGCAUCGGAAACUGUUUUUCUUGAGUGCAGAAGAGGAGAGUGGAACUCCAUGUGUAGCGGUGGAAUGCGUAGAUAUAUGGAAGAACACCAGUGGCGAAAGGCGGCUCUCUGGUCUGCAACUGACGCUGAGGCUCGAAAGCAUGGGUAGCGAACAGGAUUAGAUACCCUGGUAGUCCAUGCCGUAACGAUGAGUGCUAAGUGU
rnacentral:rRNA from 1 species